UAAAAUGUUCUCAAACACAUGAUACAAGACAUUGUUAGUACAUUACCCUGUGGCACAUUCUCCAUCACUCCUCUAACUCUUCCAAUAUUUCCACUCUCGAUUUCAGAUCAUGAACAAGCAUAACUGCUCUGAUCAAUGAGUAGCUAACCUAUAGUGAGUAGUAUUGAGUUGUGACCCAUCAAACAGAACAUCAUUAUUUCUUUGCUCCCCAAUAACAAGGCAUCUUUGGGUCACAUGGAGACC
rnacentral:lncRNA from 1 species